GACGAACGCUGGCGGUGUGCUUAACACAUGCAAGUCGAACGGAAAGGCCUUGCUUUUGUGGGGUGCUCGUGUAGCGAACGGGUGAAUAACACGUGAGUAAACUGCCCUUGACUUAGGGAUAACUUCAGGAAACUGGGGCUAAUACCGGAUAGGUGGUCCUGCUGCAUGGUGGUGGUUGUAAAGUUCCGGCGGAUGGGGAAGGACUUGUGGCUUAUCAGCGUGUUGGUGUGGUAGUGGCUUACCAAGGCUUUGGCGGGUAGCCGGCCUGAGAGGGUGACCGGCCACAUUGGGACUUGGAUACGGCCCAGACUCCUAAGGGAGGGAGCAGGGGGGGAUAUUGCAAAAUGGGGGGAAGCCUGAUGCAGCAACGCCGCGGGCGGGAAAAAGGCCUUCGGGUUGUAAACCGCUUUCGCCGUUGACGAAGCGUUAGUGACGUUAAUGGGUAAAGAAGCACCGGCUAACUACGUG
rnacentral:rRNA from 1 species